rnacentral:rRNA from 2 species
UGUCUUUUAAAUGAAGACCUGUAUGAAUGGCAUAACGAGGGCUUAACUGUCUCCUCCCCCCAGUCAAUGAAAUUGAUCUCCCCGUGCAGAAGCGGGGAUGACAACAUAAGACGAGAAGACCCUGUGGAGCUUUAAAUCACGAACAGACCAUGUCAAGAAUAACAAACAAGGACAUUAAACAAAUUGGCCACUGUUUAUGUAUUUUUGGUUGGGGCGACCGCGGGGUAAUAAAUAACCCCCAUGUGGACUAAGAAAACAUUCUUAAAACUAAGAGCCCCUGCUCUAAGUAACAGAACUUCUGACCUUAAUGAUCCGGCCUGGCCGAUCAACGAACCCAGUUACCCCAGGGAUAACAGCGCAAUCCUCUUCUAGAGCCCAUAUCGACAAGAGGGUUUACGACCUCGAUGUUGGAUCAGGACAUCCUAAUGGUGUAGCCGCUAUUAAGGGUUUGUUUGUUCAACAAUUAAAGU